UACGUAGGGGGCAAGCGUUGUCCGGAUUUAUUGGGCGUAAAGAGCGUGUAGGCGGUUUGGUAGGUCCGUUGUGAAACUCGAGGCUCAACCUCGAGACGCCGAUGGAAACCAUCAGACUAGAGUCCGGAAGAGGAGAGUGGAAUUCCUGGUGUAGCGGUGAAAUGCGCAGAUAUCAGGAAGAACACCCGUGGCUAAGGCGGCUCUCUAGUACGGUACUGACGCUGAGACGCGAAAGCGUGGGGAGCGAACAGG
rnacentral:rRNA from 1 species